rnacentral:rRNA from 1 species
CCUACGGGAGCAGCAGUGGGGAAUAUUGGACAAUGGGCGAAAGCCUGAUCCAGCCAUGCCGCGUGUGUGAAGAAGGCCUUCGGGUUGUAAAGCACUUUCAGUGGGGAAGAAAGCCUUGGGGCUAAUACCCUCGAGGAAGGACAUCACCCACAGAAGAAGCACCGGCUAACUCCGUGCCAGCAGCCGCGGUAAUACGGAGGGUGCGAGCGUUAAUCGGAAUUACUGGGCGUAAAGCGCGCGUAGGCGGUCUGAUAAGCCGGUUGUGAAAGCCCCGGGCUCAACCUGGGAACGGCAUCCGGAACUGUCAGGCUAGAGUGCAGGAGAGGAAGGUAGAAUUCCCGGUGUAGCGGUGAAAUGCGUAGAGAUCGGGAGGAAUACCAGUGGCGAAGGCGGCCUUCUGGACUGACACUGACGCUGAGGUGCGAAAGCGUGGGUAGCAAACAGGAUUAGAUACCCCUGUAGUC